rnacentral:rRNA from 1 species
UACGGAGGGGGCUAGCGUUAUUCGGAAUUACUGGGCGUAAAGCGCACGUAGGCGGCUUUGUAAGUUAGAGGUGAAAGCCUGGAGCUCAACUCCAGAAUUGCCUUUAAGACUGCAUCGCUUGAAUCCAGGAGAGGUGAGUGGAACUGCGAGUGUAGAGGUGAAAUUCGUAGAUAUUCGCAAGAACACCAGUGGCGAAGGCGGCUCACUGGUCCGGUACUGACGCUGAGGUGCGAAAGCGUGGGGAGCAAACAGG